AUGUUUUGGAGGCGAUCUGCAGAGGGGGAAAAAUUUGGGAAGGCAGGAUGACGCGCUGUCCGUCUUAGUCUCUCCCCAGGAGCACGUGAUGCCCUACUAGAUAUCGCCAUAUAUCAGUCCCGAGCACUUAGAGGCGUAGGAGGGUUCACUUAGGCACUCCCCUUGUGUGCAUUCAGAAGGAAAGGCAGUGUCCGUCAGUACGCACUUAAUGGGUUAAUUUUUAUUUGUUUUUCUGUGUUUUGUG